UAAAAUGAUGCGAGUGUCAUUAUAUGAUAUUAUUUUACUAAACCUAUAGCAUACUGGACUUAGAGAAAAGUCAGUCUGAUUCUGAACAUUGGUGCGUGUACACGAACCCGCCCAGCUGUACGGUAAAUACGCGCGUAAACACGACUGCGCGAGAAAAAGUUUUAAUAUUUCAAAUUACGAGCGUGCUCUUCUUCAUUUAUAAUCAUAAUUAAUUAAUUUCGAUUUUAAAUUAGCGUGAAAACUUUUUAUUUGUGUGGGAACUCUUUUUUUAAAUAUUUAUAACUGGCUGAAAAGUUUCGUGGAUUAUUUUAAUCGAGUCAAAUCUUUUUGUGAUCGCUGGAACGUCUCCAAAUCCAUCGCUGGAACGUUUUAGACUGAGCUGUAAAAAUAAAGGUAAAUUACCAUUACGUAUUAUAACAGAUAAUAAAUAUAGUGUAUUUUAUUA
rnacentral:misc_RNA from 1 species